rnacentral:rRNA from 1 species
CCCUUAGAUGUUCUGGGCCGCACGCGCGCUACACUGACGAUGGCAACGAGUUUUUCCUUCGCCGAAAGGUGUGGGUAAUCUUUUGAAACAUCGUCGUGCUGGGGAUAGAUCAUUGCAAUUUUUGAUCUUGAACGAGGAAUUCCUAGUAAGCGCGGGUCAUCAUCCCGCGCUGAAUACGUCCCUGCCCUUUGUACACACCGCCCGUCGCUCCUACCGAUUGAGUGGUCCGGUGAGGCUUUGGGAUCUGAGCGGAAAGAGCGUUUCGCUGUUUCUGCCCGGAAAACUCAGUCGAACCUUAUCAUUUAGAGGAAGGAGAAGUCGUAACA